AUGUUGAAACAUUCAACUGAUGGAUUAGUUGUAAAAGACAAAAUGAGGGCCACACUUCAAUAUCGUCAGUCACUGGUUCAAGAUCAAGCGUCCUCCUCCUCUUUCUUGGAUGUGUUCCCACGAUUUCUCAACAUCCAUGGUUUGAUUUAACAAGAUUUUGCCAUGUAUGGAGAGGAUGUUUCCGGCAGAUUUUUGUCAAAGUGGCCCACUUUCUUCAAACCCAGGAUCCUGAUGGAGUGUAAAAAUCUAGUCUUUAAUAAUCAAGUAGAAGAGCUCCUGGCUGCACAAAACUCUGACAGACUUGGUUGGGACAGUGACCUCUGUAGCAUUCUACUUUCACAUACUUCCGCCUACUUCCAAAGGACAUAAGAGAGAGCAAAAAUUAGCUCCUCUCAAGCUGUAAACCCUCUUGUAAGAUAUCCGCAGCCAGGAACAAGCUUCCAUGACCUCCUACAAACCACUGACCCUGCUCCAAUGAUGUAACCUUGUCUUGUGAGCAUUGGACAUCCCAGCACAACAUCAACACAUUAUGUCAUGGUGGCUGCCAAUGACUAUGUAGUCAUUCCACUCCAGGAAGAGAGCCUCACCAGCAGUCUGGAUAAACUAUUCAAGUUGUAUUGAGUUUGUAACCUUGCCUAUCCUGUUCAAAUGACCUCAGGCUUCGGGUUCAUUGAGCACAUCUAUGGCCUGCAGAUCUCUGGUGGGAAGAGAUCCAAAAUUGUGGAGCUAGCUGCAAAGCUCCAGGUCUUCUAAGUUAGAUUACCAUGUACAUCUGCCCGGAGUGCAAAAGACAAAUAUCUCGAGAUGCACAUAGGCUCAUUUAUCAUCUCAGACAUGUCCAUGCACUCUCUGAUGGGCAGGACGACUUCUUAAAGGGGAACAUUAUCACCAGACCUAUGUAAGCGUAAAUAUAUACCUUGAUGGUGCAGAAAAAAGACCAUAUAUUUUUUAACCGAUUUUCGAACUCUAAAUGGGUGAAUUUUGGCGAAUUAAACGCCUUUCUGUUUAUCGCUCAUGUGGUGAUGACGUCAGAACGUGACGUCUCCAAGGUAAUACACCCGCCAUUUUCAUUUUCAAAACAUUGCAAACACCGGGUCUCAGCUCUGUUAUUUUCCGUUUUUUCGACUAUUUUUUGGAACCUUGGAGACAUCAUGCCUCGUCGGUGUGUUGGAGGGUGUAACAACACUAACAGGGAGGGAUUCAAGUUGCAUUACUGGCCCGAACAUGUGAAAGUGUCUUCCGCCAGACCCCCAUUGAAUAUGCUGUAGUGUCUCCACAUUUUACCGGCGAUGACAGACAUGGCACAGAGAUGUAUGGAUAACCUGCAGAUGCAUUUGCAACGAUAAAGUCAACUAAAUCACAAAGGUGAGUUUUGUUAAUGUUGAUUGCCAGCUAAUCGAUGCUAACAUGCUACACUAAUCGAUGCUAACAUGCUACGCUAAUCAACGCUAACAUGCUAUUUACUGGCGGUGCUAAAGCAAACAUGGCACAGAGAUGUACGGAUAACCUGCAGAUGCAUUUGCAACGAUAAAGUCAACUAAAUCACAAAGGUGAGUUUUGUUGAUGUUGACUGCCAGCUAAUCGAUGCUAACAUGCUACGCUAAUCUACGCUAACAUGCUAUUUACCGGCGGUGCUAAAGCAGACAUGGCACAGAAAUGUAUGGAUAACCUGCAGAUGCAUUUGCAACUAUAUUACGUUUCCUUCCACCCACAUUUAAUGCAAAAAAAAACCACUUACCAAUCGAGGGAUUUAAGUUGCUCCAGUGUCAAGAGAUGCGAAAGUCCUGAUUGUUUGGUCCGCACAUUUUACUGGUGAUGCUAACGCAGCUAUUCGGCCAUGAUAUGGCUAUGAAUAGCUAUUGUGUCAAUAGCUAUUCGCUCAAUAGCUUCAGUUUCUUCUUCAGUACUUUCAUACUCCAAUCAUCCGUUUCAAUACAUGCAUAAUCUGUUGAAUCGCUUAAACCGCUGAAAUCUGAGUCUGAAUCCGAGCUAAUUUCGCUAUAUCUUGCUGUGGUAUCUGCCAUUGUUUGUUUACAUUGGCAGCACUGUCUGACGUCACAGGGAAAUGGAUAAUUGCAUCGCAAAUAGCGAAAAUCAAGCACUUUGACCGGUAAAAUUUUGAAAAAAAAUACAAGUCACUGGGAACUAAUUUUUUAUUGCUUUUAACCCUUUUGAAAUUGUGAUAAUGUUCCCCUUUAAGUGUGCAGUCAAGACCAAUGCCAAAGAACUUACCACAGUGUAAAUUCGUAUGCAAAACAACUGAAAAGAUUCCAUUCCCAUACUAAUGUCGUUCCAUUUGAAACAGAGGCAGAAAUUAUUACCAGCUCUCAAACUUCAUUAAUCCCCACCUUCUCAGGUGCUUCAGAGACUGAUAUGGAUUGCAGUUUUGACAGUUCGAAUGAUGUUAACACAACUGUGAAUUCUGAUCUCCAAGACCUUAAGAACUCUGCAGCAGCUUUUGUUGCCAAAAUGUAUUCUGCAUCAAAUAGCACUUUAGGUGAUUUUCAGAAAAGUAUCACUUGCACAAAAGAGUUACUUGAGAAAACACUGGAUUGUUUAAAAGAAAAGACUGUAUGUUCUUAACAAGUGUGAAUCUUUGGAGAGACAGUGUGUAUUGUUCCCUUUUCUGACCGAGAUGAAGUAUUCAUUUUGUUGAGAGUUCUGAAUGUUAAGUAUUUUGAUGACCACCUUCACACCUAUGUGAUUGAAAACACAAAUUAAUUUCAAGUGAUUAAUAUGAAAGAUGCAACUGAUGCUUUGCCACUUGAUGUAUAUGAGCUGAGAGAUUCGGAAUUGCACUUACUGACAAGAUACAGACUUAUUUCCUAAAUGUUGUGACUUGUGUAAAUGGUAAAUGUAAAGAACACAAGCAAUUAUUGAAUUAAAUGCCAAUUAAAUUGCAA